rnacentral:rRNA from 1 species
GAUCCGUCACACUGGAACUGAGACACGGUCCAGACUCCUACGGGAGGCAGCAGUGGGGAAUUUUGGACAAUGGGGGCAACCCUGAUCCAGCCAUUCCGCGUGAGUGAAGAAGGCCUUCGGGUUGUAAAGCUCUUUCAGCCGGAACGAAACGGUAUUCCUUAAUACGGGAUGCUAAUGACGGUACCGGCAGAAGAAGCACCGGCUAACUACGUGCCAGCAGCCGCGGUAAUACGUAGGGUGCGAGCGUUAAUCGGAAUUACUGGGCGUAAAGCGUGCGCAGGCGGAUUGUUAAGCAAGAUGUGAAAUCCCCGGGCUUAACCUGGGAAUGGCAUUUUGAACUGGCAGUCUAGAGUGUGUCAGAGGGGGGUGGAAUUCCACGUGUAGCAGUGAAAUGCGUAGAUAUGUGGAGGAACACCAAUGGCGAAGGCAGCCCCCUGGGAUAACACUGACGCUCAUGUACGAAAGCGUGGGUAGCAAACAGGAUUAGAUACCCUGGUAGUCCACGCCCUAAACGAUGUCAACUGGUUGUUGGGGGAGUGAAAUCCCUUAGUAACGAAGCUAACGCGUGAAGUUGACCGCCUGGGGAGUACGGUCGCAAGAUUAAAACUCAAAGGAAUUGACGGGGACCCGCACAAGCGGUGGAUGAUGUGGAUUAAUUCGAUGCAACGCGAAAAACCUUACCUACCCUUGACAUGUCCAGAAUCCUGCAGAGAUGCGGGAGUGCCCGAAAGGGAAUUGGAACACAGGUGCUGCAUGGCUGUCGUCAGCUCGUGUCGUGAGAUGUUGGGUUAAGUCCCGCAACGAGCGCAACCCUUAUCAUUAGUUGCUACGCAAGGGCACUCUAAUGAGACUGCCGGUGACAAACCGGAGGAAGGUGGGGAUGACGUCAAGUCCUCAUGACCCUUGUGGGUAGGGCUUCACACGUCAUACAAUGGUCGGUACAGAGGGUUGCCAAGCCGCGAGGUGGAGCCAAUCCCAGAAAGCUGAUCGUAGUCCGGAUUGUUCUCUGCAACUCGAGAGCAUGAAGUCGGAAUCGCUAGUAAUCGCGGAUCAGAAUGUCGCGGUGAAUACGUUCCCGGGUCUUGUACACACCGCCCGUCACACCAUGGGAGUGGAAUCUGCCAGAAGUAGGUAGCCUAACCGCAAGGAGGGCGCUUACCACGGUGGGUUUCAUGACUGGGGUGAAGUCGAAACAAGGUA